rnacentral:rRNA from 1 species
AUUGAACGCUGGCGGCAGGCCUAACACAUGCAAGUCGAGCGGAUGAAGGGAGCUUGCUCCUGGAUUCAGCGGCGGACGGGUGAGUAAUGCCUAGGAAUCUGCCUGGUAGUGGGGGAUAACGUCCGGAAACGGGCGCUAAUACCGCAUACGUCCUGAGGGAGAAAGUGGGGGAUCUUCGGACCUCACGCUAUCAGAUGAGCCUAGGUCGGAUUAGCUAGUUGGUGGGGUAAAGGCCUACCAAGGCGACGAUCCGUAACUGGUCUGAGAGGAUGAUCAGUCACAUGGGAAUUGAGACACGGCCCGGCCUCCGCCGGGGGGAAGCAGGGGGAAAUUUGGGAGAAGGGCCGAAAGCAGAACCCACCCAUGCGGGGGGGGGGAAGACGGUCUGCGGAUUGUAAACCCUUUUAAUUGGGGAGAAAGGGAAGUAAUUAAAUCCCUUGCUGUUUGGACGUUACAAAAAAAAAAAGCACGGCCAAACUUCGGC